CAUGCAACAGGUCGAGAAUGAGAAAAAAAAGCAGGCAGAAAUGGGAGAGAGACAAAAUAAGAAGUUUAGGUAUUUAGAGUAGGGUAGAGGGCAGCAAAAUAAUAGUAGAGAUAGUAAAUAGUGGUCCACGAAGAAGAAUUGGAGAAGUUCUAAUGCCUAUUUGAUGGCUACUACCCCUUAUCCUAAGUCAUCUAGUGAUCAUCACUUCCAGACUAAUAAUAGGUUUAAGUCACAAUGUGCCCAGUCUCUGGCUAGUGGAGC
rnacentral:lncRNA from 1 species